rnacentral:lncRNA from 10 species
AUUUUUAUGGGUUGUCCUACGUGUUCAUGCAUAUUAUUUUUCACAUGAACAACUCCACAAUAGUUGGAGAAAAAAAAUCUUCCUGGUAUUUUAUUAGAGUUGCAUUAAAUUUAUGCAUAAACUAAGAGAUAAGAGAGACAUAACAUCUUGUUGACAUUGACACAUCAUAAUCAAGAACAAGCAAUGUCAUUUCAUUUUUGCACAUCUUCCUUUUUGUCUUCCAGGAGAUGCUAAUCAUUUUCCUUAUAUAGUUUUUAAAUCGUCUUCCCUUAGUAUUACGUAGAUUGUCAUUAUUUUAAAGGCUAAUUCUGACAGCUUCAUUAUUUGGCAUCUUUGUAUUGUGCAUAUUUUUUCUUGAUUUUAGAUCAUUUGAUCUUGAGUCCUAGUGUGUUGGUUAAUUAUUUUUUACAUUCAAUGUAAGAAGUUACUAUGUGUGAUAAAAUAUAAAGAAAGAUAACUUGAAGCUUUUGCAUCUGACUUAUAAUCUAGGGAGAGAUCCCUUUAAUUCAGACACAGUUUGGGCUUAUUAGAGGCUUAAUUUCAGUCUUUCAGGUGGCUGGUCCAUCUUUGGUGCAUUCCUACAAUACUGUAGAUUACACACCUGCAAAGUAGAUUAUUUUACUAAGGCCAAACAUCUUGACUGACUAGUCCUAAACUCCAAUGUCUGUCCGUCUCCUUUGCUUCAUAAGAAUGCUGAAAGCUCUGCUCAUAUUCUUAGCUUUCUGGCCAUCACUUGUGAACUUACAAAUGCCUAUGGAGGAAUAAUUAAUAGUGCCAAAUGUUGGACUCAUUUCUUUGUGUUUCUCUUUUCUCUGGGAUUUUGAGCCUUCAGAUUCUAACUUUAUUUAUGACUUUCAGUUGCCUUCAAAAAGAUUUUUUUCAAAACACCAUUGCUUUUUGAAAUACGUGUAGUUUCACAGGAUGUUACCAAAAUAGUACAGAGAGGUACAGUAUGCCCUUCACCCAAUUUUCUGCAACAUCUACAUUUUACAUAGUUAAAUGACAAAAUCAAAAUCAGGAUAUGAACGUUGGUAAAAGACGUGUGCAUAGUUCUUAUACCAUUGUGUCCAGUGUGUAUAUGCAUGAAAUACCAUUGCAAUCAAAAUACAGAGUUCCAUAUUUUAAAGAAACUACCUUAAGUACCUUAUUUGGCUUUUCCAUUGGUUCUUAGAAGUAAGGUUGAUCUAAUCCCAGCUGUAUCAUCAUGGGCCAAAGCAGAUCUUCUAAAAUUAGCUUUAUAAUUUUUAUUUUUUGUAUUUUAUAUUAGGAAAUUUUCUGACAUUUUUCUAACUCUGAGAUGAUGUAUAUUGUGUAAAAGUUUAAGAUGGAGUUUGAAUAAUUCUCUUUUGCUUCCCUAUAGUGCCUAGUGGGGAGCCGGAUAAGUAGUAGGAAGGAAAAACAUAAUUAUUUAAUGAUAUUUAACAGUAAGCUUCUUUCUGUAGUCAUAGCUACAAAAAAUGUCUUUAUGGCACUGCAUGUAAGCUGUAAUCAUCAUUUCUAGUUUACCUACACAGCAGAAAUGUAGUUUAACUUACUGUGUUGGUAGAUUCAAGCCAAUGAAUCAUGAUUGGCUUGUUCUUCAACAAUUUUAUAUCUCCAUAUACACACACCUAAAGGGUUUCAAAAUGUUUCUAAAACCACCAAAUUUAAGUCACAUUGUGGACUAAGCUCCUGUAUCACUGUGGAAAAACUUAAAUUUCAUCAUGUGAGCAUUUACUGGUGAAUACAUAUUAGUGGCUACUCAGCAGAGCAGUGCUGCUUAUUGAAACAUACUUUAGGAAACACAUGGUGUUAUAAGUGCACAUAAUGGUUAAAAUGUGAAAAGUAAUAUUUCAGGUGGAAAAUGUCACCAAUAGCCAUGUGGUUAGUCCAGGGAACCAGUUUGUUAGAAUUGUCUAGCUAUAAGAAUAUUUAUUAGAGUUUAAUUCCAUGACUUUGUAUAAUGGAAGGGAAGAUAGAAGGAGGGGGAAGGCAGAAAGAAAUUAGAAAAAGCACAGGGUAAGAAAAUCAGUUCAAAGGCAUAUUAUAUAAUGUACCAAGUCUUGGGCUUUCACAUAUUUUUAAAUGGGAUUAUCAAAUAAAGAGAAAUCUGGACUUAGAUAAGAAGAAGCUUUAUUCAGAAGAAAGACUAUUGCAAUAGGAAUAAUACUCUGAUGUUAGAAAUCUGCAAGUGUCCCAAAAGCAAAUAAUUAAUAGAAAAGGAUUUUAUUUUAUAGAGAGGGGUAAGCAAUAAUUAUGGGGAAGUCAGGCAAAUGAGAGGAAAUAAUCAGAGGGGUCUGACAGGGAGUGUGUUCUACUGUAGUCAACUGCUCUCGGGAUAAUCUGAUUGAUUAAGGGAAUAUUUUCAGCCUUUUAGAGUUUUCUCAGGCUGAGAGCAAGCAGAGUUCAGGAGCCUGUAAGGAAAAUAGAAGCCUGACUAAAGUUUGGUCAAGACAAAGCAGAAGGUAAGCAAUUGAAAAUUGUGGCCACCUGGUCAACAGCCAACAGUACACAAGGAUGCUCUGUUACUAAAGGCUUUCUAGUGGACAAUAAAUGGCCUCUUGUUAGUUAUGCUAUGGAAGAAAGUUAUUUAUUUUUAAUAUAGUGAUAAUUUUACCUAGGUGACUUCAAAAAUUUAUUCUAACUUGAAGAACAAUUUGUUUUAUGAUUCAGUAAGGGUUAGUAUUUCUACAAAAAAAGACAAAGAGUUUGCCUUAAUGUACAUUCCCGGACAAUAAGAUUUGCUCCAUCAUCUAAUCAUUUUAUAUAGCACCUUUCAAUAAAAUUUAGUAAAAUUCUUUAAAAGCAAGCUUUGCAACCAUCAUUUUAUAGAUUUUGUAAAUGACUUAUUCAGAGUUAGGCAUUUCAGAAUAUUUAUUAUUUCAGACUGAACAGAAUUGCUGUCUGUAGGAUAUAUACUUCUUCCCUAGGAAUGCAAUAAUAAUAGUGUGGAAAAGAUGUGCAGUAGUAACAUUUAGAUAGGUAUCAUGGGAAAAGUGAAGCUUAAAAUUUACCCAGUGAAGAAAAAAAGAGAAAAGGUUUUGGUUAAAUCUUAUCAGACUCACCACUAGUCCAUCAAUUCAGUCAGCUUGGGAGUGAUGUUACUUUUCAAGCUCUCAUGAAAAGACUUCCUGAUUUGUAAAGGAGGCAAAUUUAUUUAUGUAAAUUGUCUAUUUGGCAGUACUUCUGCUUCUUUUAGUGUUUAGUCCCACCUCUGAUAAGACAGGUCUAAUUUCAUUUCCAUUAAAAUGCAAUGAAAGCACAUUUAUGAAUUUAAUAAUUUCUUGCCUGAGUUUGAUAGGAGCAUUAAAGUUGUUAGCUAUGGACUGUUGUUAAUAAAUAUUGCUUUUUUAAUUUAAUUAAAGUAGACUAAGAGUUACUGGCCAAUAAUUUUUUUCUAUAGAUUAUGAAAAAAAAAAAAAGAAUUGGUAAAAGAAAUAGCAAUUUGCCCAAGGGUUUGUUUAAUUGGACAUUCCUGCUUAUCUCAUUGUCAAAUUAUUUUUAAACCUAAGCCUUUCUAUAUAAUUUAAAUGUUGCUUUACUUUGUUUUGCAUAGCUUAUUCAUCUUCCUAAAAGGAACGUGAAGAAAAUAUGAAUUUAGGCCUUGUAACACAGCUUGGAAAGAGAAAACUGACAUUAAGAAUUUUAUUUUAAUUUUUCUUUCAGAAGUCUUUCUUAAACACUUUUUUUGCUCAUAAUUUUUUACACUUUUAUAUGAACUGCCUAUGUAAAUAUCAAUUAAUAUGAACUGCCUAUGUAAAUAUCAAUUUAUAUGAACUGCCUAUGUAAAUAUCAAUGUUUCUGAUAACUUAGUAUGCCUCCAGGGUCCAUAGCCUUCCUGAUGAAGUAGUAUUUAGCUGAAGCUUUUUUGCAUAAUCUGCCUAGUAAACAACUAUUUGUUCUUCAACAAAAAAAAGGAAAAUAUAUGCGAAAAUUAGAAAAAAAAUAAAGAAAUACAAAAGGACUUAAAGAUUAUGAGAAUCACUGGUAACAGAACUGAUUUUGAUUUCCUGUUCCUGCCUAAAUUAAGUUUCUGACUCAUCGUUGUUCUGCAAAAAAUGAAUUUACCUUUUUUUAUCACUUAAAAUCACGAUUAAAUUGAUAGAUCAGAUGAGAUAAACAAGUUUUGUGGUAUAAAGAGGUGUAUCUUUUGGGGCAAAAUACUGAGAAAAUUUAUAUACAAACCAGAAACAGUGGGUUGCAUGAAUUUAAAGUGCUAAAACAAUAUGUCUGCAACUUAGAGUUUCUUAGGCAUAAUUACUUAAAAUAUAUAAAUCCUGAAUUUACAGUUUCUUAAUUUCCUUGACAGAAUACUGCCACACCUCUUAGUCAAGUCUAGCACAUACCAUAUUUAAUGGUCAACAAUGAAGUGUGGAUUGCAUGUAACAAACCUGUACAUGUACCCCUUGAAUCCAAAUUAGAAUAAAAUCGAGUUAAAAAAAUACAAUUAAAAAUAAUACAACUAUUUACAUGACAUUUACAUCUAAUAGGUAUUAUAAGUAAUUCUAGAGAUGUUUUAAAGUAAAGUAGUGUGUACAGGAGGAUGUGGCUCAGUUAUGUGAAAUUAAAUAAUUCAGAUUUAAAGUUGUUGGAAUUUAAAUUAUUCUGAACCUUCAGAGGAAUGUGGCAAUGUAGCCUGAGUCACUUGGCAUGCAGCUGCAACUUCUGUAAAUAAUUAGGAAGACCAAGUGGCCCAAUCAAAUCAUUGUAACUGGUCUUGUAUGGAAAAUAUAAUCCUGCUAAACAUUUCUGUCUGUGUAUAACUGAUAAAUACCUUAACCUCUCUAACUUGUAACACUGACCUCAUUCAUUUGGAGUCUGUGUUUCCUGGGUGUCUGUCCUCAAGCUUUGCAACUCAAAUAAAUAAGCUAUAUGCAUAAAAUAAAAAAAAAUAAAGGAAUAUGGAUGCGAAUGUAAAAUAUCAUCUGGUAUCAAACAAUUCUGAAUGCCUAAAUAUGACUGGAACUUCUUCCAGUUUAAUUGAAAUAUUUUGGAUCUAUUAAUAAAUGUGUAAACUU